GACAGCUAAUCCAGGAGGGAGGCUGGAGAGAGAUGAAGACGUCGAGUCUAGAUAUGAAUUAGUUCAGUCCCAUGGAGUCCUUGAGCCAGGCUGAGGGAAAGCAGUGCAAGUUCAGGACUUCAACCUGAGACCAAAAGGAGGACUACUUAGGGAAAGUGCUCAGAACACCACCUCCGAACACAAGAAGUCCCGGAUUUCUACCCGGCAAAACCCUACCUCUGGAAUGUUAGAAGGUCUGAGCAUUUGAUCCCAGUACCUUCUGUACCUAAAGCUCCAUUUUAGGUCCUAGUCCAUAAGGAAGCACUUUAAUCAGGAAGCAAGUGCUUCCGGGUCACCGCCAUCCCUAAGGGGUCACUAUGACAACUUCUGGCCAAUCCGAGUUCUGCAUUGCCCUGGCCUCCAGGGACCUGGUGCCAGAUUGGUCAAAAGACCCAAAGAUCCUUGAAUCUUUGGGGGAAAGAGGCUCUCUGGUCAGGAAGACUUCUCAAGCCAGGAAUGUACAGCUCUUUGCUAGCCUAGCUGUGGGUAAAAAGCAGAUACAUUGAGGUUGGAGAGAGGGCUGAGUCAGGUAUUUAGUGGACUUGUGUUUGGUUCCCAACAACCAAUGGCAGUUUAAACCAUCUAUAAAUAACUCCAGUUCCCAGGACCUGUCGCUCUCUUCUGGCCUCUGUGGGCACCAGGCACAAGUAGGGGGUGCAGCUGAAACAUACACACAUAUAAAAUAAAAAUAA
ensembl:lincRNA Gm44635 predicted gene 44635